AUUGAACGCUGGCGGCAGGCCUAACACAUGCAAGUCGAGCGGAUGAAGGGAGCUUGCUCCUGGAUUCAGCGGCGGACGGGUGAGUAAUGCCUAGGAAUCUGCCUGGUAGUGGGGGAUAACGUCCGGAAACGGGCGCUAAUACCGCAUACGUCCUGAGGGAGAAAGUGGGGGAUCUUCGGACCUCACGCUAUCAGAUGAGCCUAGGUCGGAUUAGCUAGUUGGUGGGGUAAAGGCCUACCAAGGCGACGAUCCGUAACUGGUCUGAGAGGAUGAUCAGUCACACUGGAACUGAGACACGGUCCAGACUCCUACGGGAGGCAGCAGUGGGGAAUAUUGGACAAUGGGCGAAAGCCCGAUCCAGCCAUGCCGCGUGUGUGAAGAAGGUCUUCGGAUUGUAAAGCACUUUAAGUUGGGAGGAAGGGCAGUAAGUUAAUACCUUGCUGUUUUGGCGUUACCAACAGAAUAAGCACCGGCUAACUUCGUG
rnacentral:rRNA from 1 species